GAUGAACGCUGGCGGCGUGCCUAAUACAUGCAAGUCGAGCGAACAGACGAGGAGCUUGCUCCUCUGACGUUAGCGGCGGACGGAUGAGUAACACGUGGAUAACCUACCUAUAAGACUGGGAUAACUUCGGGAAACCGGAGCUAAUACCGGAUAAUAUAUUGAACCGCAUGGUUCAAUAGUGAAAGACGGUUUUGCUGUCACUUAUAGAUGGAUCCGCGCCGCAUUAGCUAGUUGGUAAGGUAACGGCUUACCAAGGCAACGAUGCGUAGCCGACCUGAGAGGGUGAUCGGCCACACUGGAACUGAGACACGGUCCAGACUCCUACGGGAGGCAGCAGUAGGGAAUCUUCCGCAAUGGGCGAAAGCUUGACGGAGCAACGCCGCGUGAGUGAUGAAGGUCUUCGGAUCGUAAACCUCUGUUAUUAGGGAAGAACAAAUGUGUAAGUAACUAUGCACGUCUUGACGGUACCUAAUCAGAAAGCCACGGCUAACUACGUG
rnacentral:rRNA from 1 species